CCUUGUACACACCGCCCGUCACACCAUGGGAGUGGGUUGCAAAAGAAGUAGGUAGCUUAACCUUCGGGAGGGCGCUUACCACUUUGUGAUUCAUGACUGGGGUGAAGUCGUAACAAGGUAACCGUAGGGGAACCUGCGGUUGGAUCACCUCCUUACCUUAAAGAA
rnacentral:rRNA from 3 species